UUUAAUUUAUCGCAGCGCCACGUAGACCGUUAAACCAUCAAAAACUUUUAAGAAUGUAGUCAACUUUAGCACUGAAGGCAACCAGCCAGUAGCCAGUUUUCUGCCGUUUUUCCGUUAUUCCGUGUACCUUGGGCCGUAGGGACCUUCACCUUUGUGCCGUAUUCCAGUGCUCCCUGUUUCCAGACGGUUUCCAUACCUUUGCUCACAUCAUUUUGGUUUUAGGCAGAGGUGGUUAAUAACAUUUACUCCAUUACAAAAAGGACCUUUUUGAAUAAUUUGUACUUUUAAUAGUUGUUUUAAAAGAAACUACUUUACUCUUAUUCGAGUACAUAGUCAAAAAUGUACUUUCACUUUGUUAUAUACGUCAACGUUUCCCCCGUUACAUUUUAAAAUAUUUUUUUUAUGUUUCACUACAACCUGUCAAGUGAGAGGGUUGUUGAAAUCUCUAAAGAUGAUCACAGAGUGUCACUACUCAGCUCCCCAGCAGGAACAGACAUUGUUAUGAAGGUGAUGUGUAUGUGGAACCACCACGUGACUGGGAGUGGGAAGACCAUGGGUCAGAGAGGUCACAUCAUUGCUUCACUGCUGUGGCCAGAGCAAACCUCCCCGCACCGGCGGACCAUCAUUACAUCAGAGUACGCUUUCUCUUGGCAACGAAGCCAAACCUGUUUACUCCACCACACAUGCAGAAAGUUUCUCAGGGAGAAGUGAAGACGGGCAGCCAUUGACAUUUCUGAUGAGUGAGCCGGGCGGUCCAUCUCAUAUACUUCAACACAUUCACGGGAUGUCCACAGCCCUAAAGAUAUAGUACCGGUACAGAGCCUCAUGUUACCCAUGUUGCAAGGUCUGUUCUCCACAGUUACAUUUUCAGCAUUUGGCAGAAAAUGUAAAAGCAUGCUUAUAAAGCAUCUUAGAAACUGUUUUAAAUAUUGUUUUCUAAGUACACCAACUGACUGCAUAUCGUAUGCGUACCAUAAUCAGUUCUGCUGUACCGUUUUAUGACCUUAAACACUACAAUGUGCACAGCAUAAUGUUCUGCGUAGCCUCAGAACCAGCAACUGGGCUCGAAAUCAAGAGGGUGUGGCUGUGAAAGAAGUCACCAACCCCCCCGAGACCACACCAUACGAGAGCACCUACUUCCUAGACCACUGCAGCUCCGCUCCCGCCAGCCGGCCCGCGGCAGCCUCUGGCCAGCCAAUACACUGGUACCACCACGACAUCCUCACAGGUGCUCCAGAGCCUCAUCGGGCUGACCUGGGCCAGCCAAAACGUUUGUUCUUCCUCAACUCCCAACAGACACCAGAGAUGAAUAACCGACAGGUCAUAAUGUGUGAUGGAACACAAACGGAAACCCUUUAGUCUUUAGCGCACCACACACGCUCGAGCACCGAUACGCUACCGAUGUCGUCCAUAUGUUUGAAAUCUGAUGCCAUCCCAAUGUUCCCGCAGGAAAGCAGCGAGGCCCUUCAGGUCCUGUGAACCCGAGGAAGCCACACAGAGGUUGCAGUGGGCUGCUCGUUGCUGGGAGACUGACUGCACUGCCUUCCGCCUCUACUGAAGGACUUCGGCAAGAGAUCAGAUGUGUUGUGUACAGUAGUGAUCUUGAACCAGACACGUCUUCAUUCACUUAAUAAAGAGAUA